UAGGGAAUCUUCGGCAAUGGACGAAAGUCUGACCGAGCAACGCCGCGUGAGUGAAGAAGGUUUUCGGAUCGUAAAACUCUGUUGUUAGAGAAGAACAAGGACGUUAGUAACUGAACGUCCCCUGACGGUAUCUAACCAGAAAGCCACGGCUAACUACGUGCCAGCAGCCGCGGUAAUACGUAGGUGGCAAGCGUUGUCCGGAUUUAUUGGGCAUAAAGCGAGCGCAGGCGGUUUCUUAAGUCUGAUGUGAAAGCCCCCGGCUCAACCGGGGAGGGUCAUUGGAAACUGGGAGACUUGAGUGCAGAAGAGGAGAGUGGAAUUCCAUGUGUAGCGGUGAAAUGCGUAGGUAUAUGGAGGAACACCAGUGGCGAAGGCGGCUCUCUGGUCUGUAACUGACGCUGAGGCUCGAAAGCGUGGGGAGCAAACAGG
rnacentral:rRNA from 1 species